UACGUAGGGACCAAGCGUUGCUCGGAUUUACUGGGCGUAAAGGGCGCGUAGGCGGCGUGGUAAGUCACUUGUGAAAUCUCUGAGCUUAACUCAGAACGGCCAAGUGAUACUGCUGUGCUAGAGUGCAGAAGGGGCAAUCGGAAUUCUUGGUGUAGCGGUGAAAUGCGCAGAUAUCAGGAGGAACACCAAUGGCGAAGGCAGCUCGCUGGGACGUGACUGACGCUGAGACGCGAAAGCGUGGGGAGCAAACAGG
rnacentral:rRNA from 1 species